rnacentral:rRNA from 1 species
GUCUUGUAAUUGGAAUGAUGGGAAUUUAAACCUCUUCCAGAGUAUCAAUUGGAGGGCAAGUCUGGUGCCAGCAGCCGCGGUAAUUCCAGCUCCAAUAGCGUAUAUUAAAAUUGUUGCAGUUAAAAAGCUCGUAGUUGAAUUUCUGCUGCAUUGCAUUUUCUCCUAUACGAGUUUUUGCAUUGUGGCUUAUUUCGGUUAUAAAAUUUAUUUUUAUUUCCGGAUGUUUACUUUGAGAAAAUUAGAGUGCUCAAAGCAGGCUUUUGCCUUGAAUAUUUUAGCAUGGAAUAAUAAAGUAAGACUUUGGUUCUAUUUUGUUGGUUUUAGGUACCAAAGUAAUGGUUAAUAAGAACAGUUGGGGGC